AUUGGAAGUUCUUUUUCUACAACCGCUCACUGAAAACAACACAGUGCACGGUUUCAGUGAUGAGCUUGGAGUGCCCCUCUGUGGAAGAAGGAUAUUGCCAAAAGGGGGAUGGAUGAAGCCACCAACAUCAUGGCUGCUCGAAGGAGGUAACUCAAUGUUCUCUAAGAAGGAACGACACAUGAAAAUGGCUGUCAUUUGAAAAAAAUAUAUUUUUAUCAAAGAGAAAAUAAUCUACAGAUAAGACAGUAUUUAAGAAGCAAAGCUUUAUUUAUUUUGAGUCUGUUUAGGUCCAUGGUGGAGGAACUUGUCCUCCCAUUUGCCACAGUAUAAACGUUUAGUAUGCCAAUAAAAAGAGGCUGUGGUGAAUCCCAACACACACACCAGGCUUCACACAGCACACCAAACUCAGUGCACCUGAGAGAAUCCAUGGUCUUGACUCUUCAUCGUCUAGGGAAGUAACUGAGACUCAGGGCAGAGAAGUGAACAUAAAUUUCAUCAUAUGAAAACUGAAAAGGCACUUCAAAACGUAAGUGGGGAUCAAAGCUCUGCACACCAAAACUUGUUUAUUAGUCAAGAAACAACAACUGCAGGCCGGAUGCACUGGCUCAUGCCUGCAAUCCCAGCACUUUGGGAGGCCAAGGUGGGUGGAUCUUUUGAACCCAGGAGUUUGAGAAUAGCCAGGCAACAUGGUGAAAACCCAUCGCUACAAAAAAUUAGCCAGGCAUGGUGGCGUGCACCUGUAGUCCCAGCUACUUAGGAGGCUGAGGUGAGAUGAUCACUUGAGCCCAGGAGGUUGAGGCUGCAAUGAGCCAAGAUCAUGCCACUGCACUCCAGCCUGGGUGACAGUGCAAGACCCUUUCUCAAGACCCUGUGGUCCAAUUACAGAUAGCAAGCUUCUUUUUCUCUGAUACCCACAGCUCCUACUUGGCUUCAUAUGAUGUUUUCUAAAUUGAUACACACACGGCAAAGAAUACAUUCCAUAGUGUAGGAAAUAUAACUGGUAUAUGAAUAUCAAGUGCAGGAUCUCACCAAGAUUAUUGUUUAGGAUGAGCCUAUAGUUUACACAUCACUGAUAGUCCAUCUUUUAUACUCUGUUUUUUAACUUUAAUUUUAGAAUUCAGAAAUAGCCAUGAACCUUCCAUAGAGUCAACCUUGCACAUUGAAAGCAAAUUUUACAUGCCGCUGUAUUCACAGAAAAGAUUUGGAUACUCUGGAUAUGUAUAAAGGUUUACGAGAAAAAAUUUCUAAAGCUUUAAAGGCUGUCAGUCUCUUUAGUGUCAAGCCACUGAUUUCUUUACCUUUUUUUUUUAACUUUUUAAAGAAAUGAAGCUCAUUGGCUUUCACUCAGUAAUGUUCUCACUCCUCUAUUUGUUUUGCAAGGAACUUCAAGUCUCUUCUGUAUGUAAUCUUCAAUCUGCCAAAUUGUAUGCAUGACUUGUGUUGGUGUUAAAAGAUAAUUGCUCAUUUGAACAUUCUAAAUCUAGCCUUCCAUGGCAAGUUUACAUUCCUCAUGCAAGAUAAAGUGAAUGGGGAGAUCAUAAAACUGGAGCUAUAAGGAACACUGUUUGAUCAUGGUAAGAUCGGUUUUGUUACUUAAUUACUUUGUUUAAAUUCAUCUGAAGAACCAGUUGUAAAUAUUUUAAACCUUAUUAAAG
rnacentral:lncRNA from 1 species